AACUUGAGAGUUUGAUCCUGGCUCAGAACGAACGCUGGCGGCAGGCCUAACACAUGCAAGUCGAACGAGACCUUCGGGUCUAGUGGCGCACGGGUGCGUAACGCGUGGGAAUCUACCAUAGGGUGCGGAAUAACUCAGAGAAAUUUGAGCUAAUACCGCAUAAUGACUUCGGUCCAAAGAUUUAUCGCCCUGGGAUGAGCCCGCGUAGGAUUAGCUAGUUGGUGAGGUAAAAGCUCACCAAGGCGACGAUCCUUAGCUGGUCUGAGAGGAUGAUCAGCCACACUGGGACUGAGACACGGCCCAGACUCCUACGGGAGGCAGCAGUGGGGAAUAUUGGACAAUGGGGGAAACCCUGAUCCAGCCAUGCCGCGUGAGUGAUGAAGGCCUUAGGGUUGUAAAGCUCUU
rnacentral:rRNA from 1 species